GGGAGCAUAGCUUCAUGGUAGAGCACAUGCUUAGUAUGCAUGAGAUCCUGGGUUCAAGCCCCAGUACCUCCA
rnacentral:tRNA from 1 species